rnacentral:ncRNA from 1 species
CAGUUUACCAAAAACAUAGGUCUCUGCAAAGUCAUAAGGCCAUAUAUGGGGCUGAUACGCUUGCCCAUUGUCAAAAGGUCAAGGAAGUUGGUGACUUGAUGACAGGGGAAUUGACGACCGAAGCUCUGGUAAAUGGUGGCUGUAAUUAUAACGGUUCUAAGGUAGUGAAAUUCCUUGUUGAGUAAGCUUUGACCUGCAUGAAAGACGUAA